UAGGGAAUCUUCCACAAUGGACGCAAGUCUGAUGGAGCAACGCCGCGUGAGUGAAGAAGGCUUUCGGGUCGUAAAACUCUGUUAUUGAAGAAGAACGUGCGUGACAGUAACUGGUCAUGCAGUGACAGUAUUCAAUCAGAAAGUCACGGCUAACUACGUGCCAGCAGCCGCGGUAAUACGUAGGUGGCAAGCGUUGUCCGGAUUUAUUGGGCGUAAAGCGAGUGCAGGCGGUCUUUUAAGUCUGAUGUGAAAGCUUCGGCUUAACCGAAGAAGGGCAUCGGAAA
rnacentral:rRNA from 1 species